rnacentral:rRNA from 1 species
UGUAGAAUAUCUGGGGGAUACCGGGGGGAAAGCCCGCAUCUUGGACCGGCCUGACUGUUGAUGAGCGAAAGUAGGGGGGCAUAACGGGAUUAGAUACCCCGGUAGUCCUAGCCCUUAAACGAUGAAGGCUUGGUUUGCCGGGUAUGAAUUCCUGCCGUGCCCGAAGGUAACGCAUUAAGCAUUCCGCCUGGGGAGUACGGUCGCAAAGGCUGAAACUCAAAGGAAUUGACGGGGGCCCGCACAAGCGUGGGAGCAUGUGGUUUAAUUCGAAGCAACGCGAAGAACCUUACCAGGUCUUGACAUCCUCUGACACUCCUAGAGAUAGGACUUUCCCCUUCGGGGGACAGAGUGACAGGUGGUGCAUGGUUGUCGUCAGCUCGUGUCGUGAGAUGUUGGGUUAAGUCCCGCAACGAGCGCAACCCUUGAUCUUAGUUGCCAGCAUUCAGUUGGGCACUCUAAGGUGACUGCCGGUGACAAACCGGAGGAAGGUGGGGAUGACGUCAAAUCAUCAUGCCCCUUAUGACCUGGGCUACACACGUGCUACAAUGGAUGGUACAAAGGGAAGCAAAACCGCGAGGUCGAGCCAAUCCCACAAAACCAUUCUCAGUUCGGAUUGCAGGCUGCAACUCGCCUGCAUGAAGCCGGAAUCGCUAGUAAUCGCGGAUCAGCAUGCCGCGGUGAAUACAUUCCCGGGCCUUGUACACACCGCCCGUCACACCACGAGAGUUUGUAACACCCGAAGUCGGUGGGGUAACCGUAAGGAGCCAGCCGCCUAAGGUGGGACAGAUGAUUGGGGUGAAGUCGUAACAAGGUAAAUCGAAUUCCCGCGGCC